AUAUGAAGCCUGUAUUUCCAAUGGCUUUGGCAGAGUUUUCGGAAGUUGUCAAAAUACCCAGCUCUAAUGCUGUGAUUGCAUUUAGAGGGAAAAAUUUUAAAUCCAUAAUGCAAUAGGGUUGGUGCAGCCUGAGCUCCUGUUGCUACCUGAAGUAGUUAGCUGACUCAAGGUCUGGAUGGAGCACAUGGAGCAUCGCUUGAACUGCCAUGUUUGGAAGUGAGCAGCAUGGCAGUGACACAUUGUACAUUCAUUGAAGUGGAGUCAGGUGGCAGGACAGAGCGUACCUGAACCCAGCAGGUUUUAUGCGACGACUUUGCAUGAGUGCAUAUGGAGAGAUCUACAUCUCCAGAUAAUUAGAGGGAACAUCCUGAGUAACAUCAGAGGUGUUGAUGCUGGCAUAGCAGAGGUGACUCAGACGGCAAGAAAAACUUGGUGCUGCUCUGCUUUUGGAGUCAGCUAUAUCCCGAAAAGGGCUUGCACGACCAAAGAAGUGGUUGUUGUAACUGGACUUGUUCAAAAAGAGAACUUCUGUUCUUUCAGGUAUUCUGCUUUUGUGGGUCUGCCUUCGAUACUUCUUACUGGCGCUGCAGAUAAGCCCUAGAUGUGCUUAUUUCUAGUGGCUAGAUACUGGACAAGAUGGUUUGGAGUGAUGUUCUCAAAAUACAUGUUCUGUAUCCGUGGGCAUAAGAUUCAAAUGCUUUCAGGCCUCACAUGUUAAACUGAUGUUUGUGCUUUAAACCUUGCCUGCCCCCACCCAUCAUCCACCCAAUACAAAAUGAUCAAAUGAAUGAUGUUUUACAACCAUUACAACAAACUUAAGUGCUUAAUACCUAAGAAUGUGACCUUCUUAGAGGUGGGUGAAAGGAACUGGAAAAUGUAAAAGUCUUCAGGGAAAAGGAAUAAAACCUGUCAACAGUAGUGUCA
rnacentral:lncRNA from 1 species